rnacentral:rRNA from 1 species
GGGAAUUUUGGACAAUGGGCGAAAGCCUGAUCCAGCCAUGCCGCGUGAGUGAAGAAGGCCUUCGGGUUGUAAAGCUCUUUUAGUCGGAAAGAAAGAGUUGCAAUGAAUAAUUGUGAUUUAUGACGGUACCGACAGAAAAAGCACCGGCUAACUCCGUGCCAGCAGCCGCGGUAAUACGGAGGGUGCGAGCGUUAUCCGGAUUUACUGGGUUUAAAGGGUUCGUAGGUGGGCUUAUAAGUCAGUGGUGAAAUCUCCGAGCUUAACUUGGAAACGGCCGUUGAUACUAUAGGACUUAAAUUAUCUGGAGGUAAGCGGAAUAUGUCAUGUAGCGGUGAAAUGCUUAGAUAUGACAUAGAACACCAAUUGCGAAGGCAGCUUACUACAUAUAAAUUGACGCUGAGGCACGAAAGCGUGGGGA